UACGUAGGGUGGCGAGCGUUAAUCGGAAUUACUGGGCGUAAAGCGUGCGCAGGCGGCUUCGCAAGUCAGGCGUGAAAUCCCCGGGCUUAACCCUGGGAAUGGCGUCUGAAACUACGGAGCUGGAGUGUGGCAGAGGGGAGGUAGAAUUCCGACGUGUAGCGGUGAAAUGCGUAGAUAUGAUGGAGGAAUACCGAUGGCGAAGGCAG
rnacentral:rRNA from 1 species